AGGACGUUUUCUGUGCUUUCUAUAUUUCUCUCUGUUAUGUCUUCUUUCAGUAUAUAUCUGGUGGCAGUCACUUCCCAGGCCGUGUCUGGCAGCACGGAGACAUUGUGUGCACAGAUCCAUGAGCCCACUGAACCAGUUUCUCUAGUGGUGACUUUGAGGUCUGAUGUUCAGAACAUGACCAUUCUCCAACAACGCUCCAUAACCAGGGAUUUCUACACAUGUGUAACUUUUAAGGUCCCACUAGUCACUGUGGAGUCUGUGGCAUCCAUCAAUGUUACAAUCCGAGGACAGUCAACAUUCAUGAAUAAAACCACUCAGAUCCUCAUUAGUCCACCCCAAAAACUUCUUUUUAUUCAGUCUGACAGACCUAUCUACAAGCCCGGACAAACAGUUAAAUUUCGUAUUGUGUCUCUGGAUACCAAGUUCUUGCCUUACAAUCAAGAUCCAUCCUCAAAUCGCAUUGGUCAAUGGUUAAAUCAGUCUACAAGGAGUGGCAUUUUGGACUUGUUCCACUCCAUCUCUCCAGAAGCCACUCAGGGUUACUAUAUGGUCACUGCCUGGGAUGAGAAGAACCAACAAAUAUCACACCAAUUUGAAAUUAAAGAAUAUGUUCUGCCAAAAUAUGAGGUAAACAUCGAUUUUCCAUCUGUUAUAACUUCUCAGGACAACAAUGCCCCUCUUAAAGUUUGUGCAAAAUACACCUAUGGGAAAUCCGUGCUGGGAACUGUGAAUGUUGAAGUGUGUGGGCAAAGCUGGUAUUACUUUUAUGAACGCAGAUUCCCUGAAAAUGAUGGAGUAUGCAAUACAUAUUCAAAGAUGACUGACAGGACUGGUUGUGCAUCUUGGAUGAUAAAUGCCACAGACUUUGGCUUAAUCAAUGGAGGAAAUAUCAAUGUGCAAAGUAACGUAGAAGAGUCUGGAACAGGAGUAACUAUAUCAGGUACCACCACAGCUAUGUUUACCAGGGAAUAUAUCAAUGUCUACUUUGAAGACACACCAGAUACAUACAAGCCUGGUAUGGUCUUUAAGGGAAAGGUUGUGGUCACUAAUCCACAAUCCCAACCAAUGAAAAAUAAGCCAGUGGUUCUGUCUGCUUAUUAUGGAAAUCAAAAUAUCAGCCUGACUUUGAUUACAGAUGUAAAUGGCACUGUCCAGUUUUCCUUUAACACUUCAGACUGGUCAGAAUCUGGUGUUUUUGGUGUCUAUCGAUUCCUAACAAUUCACAUGUGCAGAUAUUAUCCAUCAAGCUAUCUUUACCUAAGACCCUUUCACUCCAAAAGCAAGAGUUUCCUGACGUUGAUGAAUCCUCCAAAGAAGCUCAGCUGUAACCGUGAUGCAACAGUGGUGGCCAGUUACAUCAUUCAGGGCAGCACAUUGAAAACAGGCCAGAAAACCUUGGAUUUCUUCUACAUUGUAUGUUUAAUUUUGACAAUGUUUUUAUUCUGUCCAUCAAUUGCUUGCUAUAAAAAAGGUACACUUUUAAAUUACCAAAUCACUCCUAUUAUUUUCUCUCUGGCUCCAUACGCUCAGGUGGUGGUUUACACAAUUCUUCCCAGUGGAGAAGCAGUAGCAGACAGUGUGAACUUCCCCAUUGAAGAAUGUUUGCCAAACAAGGUGUCCUUAAAGUUCUCAUCUCCCACUGCACUGCCUGGAGAGAGGGCAUCUUUUAGCCUGAAAGCCAGUCCUGGCUCCUUGUGCUCAGUGAGGGCCAUAGAUCAGAGUGUGCUGCUGCUGAGACCAGAGGCUGAGUUGAACGCAGACUCUGUGUUUGGAAUGUUACCAGUCCAAUUUUUGUCAGGUUACCCUUAUAACGUUGAGGAGUUUGAGCUUUACAACUGCCCACCUUCCUGGGGAGGCGUAAGGGGCAAGCGCUCACGCUUCUAUUACCCUUACUACGGCAACCGAAAUGAUGUCUAUGAGAUCUUUAGAGCAAUUGGAAUCAAAAUCGCUACUAACUCUGAUGUGAAAGCACCAGUUGAUUUAAAUGAUGUGGCCAUGCCAGGGGCGGCUUUUCGUCCAGGUGUUAUGAAUCCAAAUGAAAGGGUCCGCAAAUUCUUUCCAGAAACAUGGAUUUGGGAUCUAAUCCCUGUGGGAAAUUCCGGCUCCGUGGAUGUUGCAAAGACCGUCCCAGACACCAUCACUACAUGGGCAGCAGGGGCUUUCUGCACAUCGCCUGUCGGAUUCGGGCUGGCCCCCAGCACCAAUCUCACUGCUUUUAAGCCGUUCUUUGUGAGCCUCACCCUCCCUUAUUCUGUUAUCCGUGAAGAAACGUUCACGCUCAAAGCCUCUGUGUUCAACUACCUCUCCAAAUGCAUCAUGGUGAAGGUCACGCUGGCAGAUUCGACUCAGUUCACAGCUCAGCCGUGUAGGGGUUGCACAUACACUCAGUGUGUUUGUGCUGAAGAGAGCAAAACCUUCCAGUGGACUAUUACACCUUCUGUUGUGGGAAAGGUGAACUUUACAGUGCGUGCCGAGGCAGUGAAGACCCGAGAACUGUGUGGCAAUGAAGUGGUGACUUUGCCAGACAAAGGCAAAGUUGAUACUGUGAUGCAGAGCGUUCUGGUGGAGGUAUACCGUCCAUACAACACAUCCAUCACCCUUGCUCUUCCUAAAGUUUUUGUGAAGGAUUCUGCCAAAUGCUUCAUCACUGUUCUGGGAGAUCUGAUGGGUCGUGCUUUGAGAAACAUUGGUGAUCUUCUGGCUAUGCCAUACGGCUGUGGAGAGCAGAACAUGCUGCAGUUUGCCCCAAAUAUUUACAUCCUUCAAUACCUGGAGAGCAGCGGACAGCUCACUCCUGAGAUCAGAGCCCGAGCCGUAACCUUCCUACAGAGCGGCUAUCAGAGAGAGCUGACAUAUAAGCAUGGUGAUGGAUCUUACAGUGCUUUUGGCUCAAACGAUCCUUCUGGUAACACAUGGCUAACUGCAUUUGUGAUGAAGUCUUUUGGUGGGGCAAAGAGGUAUAUAUUUAUAGAUCAGACCAGCAUUGAUGAGGCAAAGAAUUGGCUGAGUCAGCAGCAGAAGACAAAUGGCUGCUUCACCUCUGUGGGGCAACUGAUCCACAUUGAAAUGAUGGGUGGUGUCAAUGAUGAAGUCACUCUCUCUGCUUACAUCACCGCAGCGCUGCUGGAGUUAGGCGUGCAGAUUUCUGAUCCCAUGGUGGCUAGAAGCCUUGUAUGUCUGAAGGAAGCUUCACGUAACAUUACCAACACCUAUGUGAAUGCCUUGUUGUCCUAUACAUUCACACUUGCUGGAGAUGGAGAAAUGAGACUGAACCUCCUGUCCAAGCUGGACAAUCAGGCCAGGAGAGAAGGUGCUGGACGAUACUGGUCUCUGGUCAACAAUGCUCAACAAACAAGCUCUGUGGAGGUUGAAAUGACUGCCUACGUUUUGCUGGCUCUUCUCUCGGGACCCUCACUGCCUAGAUUUGGUCUCAACUAUUCAGCUGGAAUAGUGCAGUGGCUGGGCAGACAGCAGAACGCCUUCGGGGGCUUCUCCUCCACACAGGAUACUGUAGUAGCGCUCCAGGCCCUGGCUAAGUACAGCGCUGCCGUCUUCAAUCCAGAAGGAUCCAUCGCCGUGACCGUGACCUCCCCAUCAGGACAGAGAAACCAGUUCACUGUGAACCGCAAUAACCGGCUGCUUUACCAGGAGAAACAGCUGACGGAAACUACUGGAACAUACAAGCUCAGGGCAGAAGGCAAAGGAUGUGUGUUUGUGCAGUUUGCCUUGAACUACAACAUCCCCCCUCCUCCUGAUGCGUUGGCCUUCAACAUUAAAACAAAUACAGGAGUCUGCAGCAAAAACCAAGCUUUUACAUUAAACGUCACUGUCCGGUAUGAUGGCAAACGAGAGGAGACCAACAUGGUGAUCAUUAACGUCAGGCUGCUGUCUGGGUUUAAGCUGGAUGAGGCGUCUCUGCAGGCCGUGAACCCCACCGUCAAACGUGUGGAUCUGGAUGAGGAUCGUGUCAUUGUCUAUUUGGAGAGUCUGAAAAAGAAGCAGGUGAAGUCCAUCAAUCUGAGGCUUCAGCAGGACGUCCUGGUGCAGAAGCUUAAACCAGCUGUGGUGGAGGUCUAUGACUACUACAAGACCAGUAUGUGUCCAUUUAUCUCUCUGAAUCUGCUCAAAGGAUAA
rnacentral:lncRNA from 1 species